rnacentral:rRNA from 1 species
AGAAGCACCGGCUAACUCCGUGCCAGCAGCCGCGGUAAUACGGAGGGUGCAAGCGUUAAUCGGAAUUACUGGGCGUAAAGCGCACGCAGGCGGUCUGUCAAGUCGGAUGUGAAAUCCCCGGGCUCAACCUGGGAACUGCAUUCGAAACUGGCAGGCUAGAGUCUUGUAGAGGGGGGUAGAAUUCCAGGUGUAGCGGUGAAAUGCGUAGAGAUCUGGAGGAAUACCGGUGGCGAAGGCGGCCCCCUGGAC